CCUACGGGUGGCAGCAGUGAGGAAUCUUGGUCAAUGGACGAGAGUCUGAACCAGCCAAGUAGCGUGAAGGAUGACUGCCCUAUGGGUUGUAAACUUCUUUUAUAUGGGAAUAAAAUGUUCCACGUGUGGGAUUUUGUAUGUACCAUAUGCAUACGGAUCGGCUAAAUCGGUUGCAGCAGCCGCGGUCAUACGGAGGAUCCGAGCGUUAUCCGGAUUUGUUGGGGUUAAAGGGAGCGUAGGUGGAUUGUUAAGGCAGUUGGGAAAGUUUGGGGCUCAACCGUAAAAUUGCAGUUGAAACUGGCAGUCUUGAGUACAGUAGAGGUGGGCGGAAUUCGAGGUGUAGCGGUGAAAUGCUUAGAUAUCACGAAGAACUCCGAUUGCGAAGGCAGUUCACUGGACUGCAACUGACACUGAGGCUCGAAAGUGUGGGUAUCAAACAGGAUUAGAUACCCUUGUAGUC
rnacentral:rRNA from 1 species